AACAACAACGGGCUUACACGAAGACUGGCGGAAAAACACGAUGCUGUCCCGGCUGCCAAGAGAUAAAUUGAUAGAAAUGAAAGAUGUGGGUAGGGGCGAACAAUGCAGGGUGUAAGAAGCCCAUCAGGUUAUGUGAAUAAUAUUUUAAGUCUGAAUAAUUAACAUUUAAUAGUGCUUAAAUGUAUUAGAGUCAGUUUUUUGUCGAAAAUGUGUUUGCCUUUCAAAGGAGCUUCUUGUAUGCUGUAACAGAUCACAGAAAUCGAAAAUAAAUAAAAUUUCCAUAAGUUGGUGAUUAAAAGAAGGAAAAAAACAAAUAUUGUGUCAAGUCAUCUGUCACAAUAACUUUUGUACUGGGCUGGUAGGCAAACACAGAGCUUCAAAUGAUCACCCUCUGAUUGUAGGUUGUAGGUAUCACAAGGCCAUUAUAUAAAAAAGAAUGGAGACCUUUGGACCAGUGUGGAUAGAGACUUUUGGACCAGUGUGGUUGGAAACCUUUGGACCAGUGUGGUUGAAACUCUGGUCAUUAAGACCUUCAUAGGGCUAUAUCAUGGAAUUAGAAGUAUAGCAGUUCAUCACUAGCUCUAGUAGCAACAACAUUGGGUCAUUGACCAACUUUCUAAAGUAUCUUAACCAUUGAUUGGGUGACUACACAAAUGUGUCACAGUUAGCUCAAGGGAAGCAACAGGUAGAAAAAAAACAACUUACCUGCUAUCCUAAUUACUGCCCUAUCAGCUGGGUCAAGCUGAAGAAUGCAC